rnacentral:lncRNA from 1 species
UCCGACAAGGAAAAGAAACCCCAAACAUUAGUCAUUCCAAAAUUCACCAGGUAUAUGCAUUUUAAUGAGUACAUAUAAAUAUUAUAUAUAUUUGCUUAUUACUGGAAAUUCUUCAAAUUUAAUUAAAUAUAAAGAUUGAAGGCUUUGAUUAUCUUUUUACUUUUUUUUUUAUCAUGCAUGUUGCAUGUCAUAUAAGGAUUGGGUUAAUAAUGUUAGACUUAAAUCUUCAUCUUUUCCAAUAAAUAAAUAAAUAUAUAGGUUUCUUUUUUUUCAUUAAGUAAAUAAUUUUUUUUUAUGAAUUUGCAGGAAAUGAGAUAUUAAGUAUACGUGGAAUAUUCAUUUGAACAAGAAUAUGAAGAUAUGAGCCACAACAUGAAGGUAUUAAAAAUGAGGUUAUCGAAAGCCUCGACCUCAGACUUUAAAUGAGGUUUACAUAUGUGGUGCUUUCACUAGCCAAAAGUUAAUGUAUUUAUAAAAGAAAAUUUAAAGAUGAAAUGUGGCACUAAUCGGUUAAAUUUAAGUUACUCCAUAAAAAUAUACUCUUUAAUUUAAUUUAGAAAGAUAAAAUCUUUUUAACUUUAAUUUUUUUUUUAAAAAUAUGUUCUAUUUGGAGGAACCCGUGUUUAAUUUAUUGAUUGGAUAUUCACUUAGGGAAUAUUCAAAAAGAUAUCAAAAUCCUUGUUGUUCAAUACUAUAUUUUUAUAAUCCUAACAUAUGUAAGCAUGCAUAUGUAUAUUUAUCUGCAACUUCCACGGUUGAAAUUUUGGACAAUUUAUUGUUAUUUUGCAAAGAAAGAUUGAACGACGUGGCACCACUUGUAAUAUAAGGCAACGCUGGCUGAAUAUAUAUAAUAUUAUAUAUAGAGAGGCUUAAACAAUUGUUGUUGGUUAUCUUAGAUACUUCCGAUGUAAGAUUUUGAAUAAUUUUACCUCGAUAAAUAAAUAUUCGAUAAAUUAAUAAUUUUGAUUAAAUCAUAAUAUUUUUU